ensembl:snoRNA small nucleolar RNA SNORD126
GCCGUGCUGUGAUGAGUUGCAUGUUAGUCCGUGUUUCACCUGAAAAUCACAUGAUUACACACAUGCGCUGAGCAGGUC